CAUAGAUGGAGGAGACAGAGAGGCCUUCUGUUCAUCCACAAGACCUUGUCAUGGAAUCCUUUCAGUCAAAAUUAGUUUGAUAAUAGUGCUCCAUGUCAACAGUUCUGAUGAAUCAGGAAUAUAUUUGAAGAUCCAAGGACACCAAUGCAUAAAAACAAGGAGUAAUUGUGACUACUACUAAGGGCAGUUCCAAAGAGCAUGCUGGAAAAGCUGACAGCUUCCAAGAAAGUCAUAAGAAGAAGCAGCAUUAUUGAAACAAAGUGUAGAUU